UUACGGUCAAAUCACGCCGAAAACACCGGUUCUCGUUCGAUCACCGAAGUUAAGCAUCGUAGUGCCAGGUCAGUACUUAGAUGGGGGAACGCUUGGGAACACCUGGUAUUGUAAG
rnacentral:rRNA from 1 species